rnacentral:lncRNA from 1 species
CAAUUUUUGAGAAAGGCUUUGUUGUGGGAGAACUUUUUAUAAAGAUCUCCUUAGUUAAAUUUUGGCGUGGAAGUGCGUAUUCAGUCUGUGGAAUUCGUAUUUCCGGGUAUGUUUCUUAUUUAAUUUUUGUAAUGUUAUUAUUUUUAAUUGUUAGUUAAAGUUUGAAUUUUUGAAGUUUAGUUAGUGUUGUUAAUAAACUAGUUAGUUUACUAUGUUUAUUUUGGCUUGGAAUUGAUUAUGUAAAUGAGUUAUUUGUGAUGACUUUUAAUAUUUUGUGAUGAAUUUCAUUAAUUAAUAAUUAUUAAUGAUAUUAAAGUUAUUUAAUGAUUAUAUUAAAUAAUUUAGUUUAAAAAUGAUUUUAAUAUUAUAAAAAUCAUUUUAAAUGAAAAUAAGGUAUUUAAAAAUAUUUUAAGUUAUAAAAUAUAACUUUUAAUAUUUAAAUGAUAAUUUCAUUAAUAAUUAAAUAUUAAUGAUAUUAAGAUAAUAUUAAUGAUAUUUAGUUUAUUUAAUGAUUAAUAUUAAAUAAAUAGUUUAAAAAUGGUUUUACUUAUUUAAAAACCAUUUAAAGAGGAUAUUAAGGAUUUAAAAAUAUUUUAAGUUAUAAUUAAUGACUUUUAAUAUUUGGAUAAAUAGUACAUUAAUAUUUAAAUAUUAAUGGUAAUUAUUUGGGUAAUAUAAAUGUUUUAAAAAUAGUUUGAGUUAUUAUAAAUAACUUUUAUAUUUUGGCAAUGGUUUCAUUAAUAGUUUAGUAUUAAUUAAACUAUUAAUGAUAAUGGAAUUGUUUAAUGUUUAAAUCAUUUAAUUAUGAUUCCGAUAUUUGAAAGUUAUAGCCGGCCAAACUAGCUGACUUGAGAACCGAUUAUGAAGUUCUGAAUUUGAAGAAGAACACCUAUAGUAACAGUUAUAUCACUAUAGGCCCUUUAGUGACAGAUUUGAAUUAUUUUAAAUUUUUCAAUUUCUGGAAAUUGCGAAAAUGAUUAAAAAUAAGAUGUCUGAUAUUUACAGAUGUUGAGGUAUAGAAUAAGAGUCUUAGACUCAGUAUUUACCCGAUAAAGCUGUCGGUACGCCGACAAAUGUCAGACCUUAUAAAAGAAAGAAAAGACUACUGUAAGAGCAUGGAUGAGAUAUUUGAAAAAUGUAUAAAAAUAUUUCAAGUAUAGAAUAGGAACUAAAAGUAUGAUCACUGUGAUUAUGUGAUUAGACUAUGUGCUGACUGUAAUAGACAGUACUAUGUGUUAAGAUAUAUUGUUCUAAUCGAACGAAUGAUCUGAUUAUUGAUAGGUUGUGAUAAAGAGAUAAAACCUAAGUUGAGAUUUGUAAUCAGCGAAUCAGGCAAGUAUCCUACCUUUGCACUUCCUUUAUGCAAUGGACAUGAGUAAGAAGUUUCAGAAUUAUUCUAUCCCUGUACAGAUUAUGUACUCUUUGAUUAUCGACAUGUUAGCUCAGAUAUAUAUUCUGUUCAUUGAUUUCUAUAAAUGGUUAUACAAGUGUCCCCACUUGGAUAAUCAUGGCAUUUGUUCACAUGUUGAUACACCUUUGUCAAUUACCCGUAUAUAUAUGUUGAAUUACAUAUUAUUGUUGAGCAAGAUUAAAAACCUUCGGGUUUGGAACCAGGCAUGUAUGAACAUCCCUAUAUGGGAAGAUUUUUGCGCAAGGCGGAUAGAGUGAGCGAUGAAUUUCGUUCAAGUUAUGUAGUAUUGAUCAAUACAGGGUACAACGGGGCUGAUCACCCUCCGUGCCCGUAAGUUAUGACGGUUUGAGGAUAGAAUUCCGCUAAACCUUUUCGAAAAUGAAAAGAAUGUUCAUAGUAUGUUUCUUAAACCCUAUUCAAGGGUAGAGCCAGAGCCAAAUUUAAAGAAUUUGAAAGAGAGUUGUUAUGUGAAUUUUUUAUCAGUACAGAUUACUUCACAACUUUCAAUUCGUUGUAGAAGUGUUAUGUAAAGAGAAUACUUAUAUUCUUUCAGCUUAUAUAUAAUUGCUAUUACUUGCUGGGCACUUAAAUGCUCAUCCUUGCUUAAAUUAAAUGUUUUCAGUUAUGUAUGAGCAACCUGAAGGCUCAGGCACGAACAAAGGAAAAGGAAAGCUAAUCGAAUAAGUGUGUAUUAUGAGUUAAUGGUUAUAGUUGUAUUGGUAUCUAUUCAAGUAUUGUAAGGAAUGUAUUUGAAGGUCACGUACCUGGGGAAGUAAACUUUGAUGUAUGUAAAUUAAGUUCGAAUUAUUAUUAUUUAGUAUUAUUCAGCUUAAAGAAAUGGUAUCGUGGAG